rnacentral:rRNA from 1 species
AUUGAACGCUGGCGGCCGGCUUAACACAUGCAAGUCGAGCGGGGUGAUGGUGCUUGCACUAUCACUUAGCGGCGGACGGGUGAGUAAUGCUUAGGAAUCUGCCUAUCAGUGGGGGACAACAUCUCGAAAGGGAUGCUCAUACCGCAUAGGUCCUACGGGAGAAAGCAGGGGAUCACUUGUUACCUUGCGCUAAUAGAUGAGCCUAAGUCUGAUUAGCUAGUUGGUGGGGUAACGGCCUACCAAGGCGACGAUCUGUAGCGGGUCUGGGAGGAUGAUCCACCACAAGGGAACUAAGAAGCGGCGCGGAGCCCUACUGGCGGGAGAAGUUGGGAAGAUUGGACAAUGGGGGGAACACUUAUCCAGCCAUGCCGCGUUUGUGGAGAAGGCCGUAUGUUUGUAAAGCACUUUAAGCGAGGAGGAGGCUCUUUUGGUGAAUACCCAGAAUGAGUAGACGUUACGCGCAGAAUAAGCACCGGCUAACGCUGUGCCACCAGCCGCCGUAA